AAGCAGAUAUCCAGAAAAUUAAAAAUUCCAUUGAAUGUGCUAGACAACCUUUGAAGGUAAAUUAGCAGCAUGAUUAAUUUAGCCAUUGCUGUCAGUUCACCUUCAGACAAGA
rnacentral:snoRNA from 1 species